CCCGCCUCGUCUCCUCUGAGCUUCAUCAUGUCGACUCUGAAGAUCACAGGACUGAUCCUGAUGGUUGGAGUCACUGUUGGUAUCAUCAGAACCAGAGGAAGAAAAAAGCCUCAGAAAGACAUUAAUGUCCGUUUUGCUGCUGAUGACGACGCAGUGAAUUAUGAAAAUGAUGGAGAACGUUCUGCUGCCGCCGCUCUCCACUGAGCUCCAUCACAUCCAGGAUGAUUCAUUAAAAAAGCUUCAUUUUAACUGUA